GACAGAGGGUGCAAACGUUGCUCGGAAUCACUGGGCGUAAAGGGCGUGUAGGCGGGACAGUAAGUCGGGCGUGAAAUCCCCGUGGGCUCAACCCAGGAACUGCACUCGAAACUACUAUUCUUGAGUGUCGGAGAGGGAAAGCGGAAUUCCUGGUGUAGAGGUGAAAUUCGUAGAUAUCAGGAGGAACACCAGUGGCGAAGGCGGCUUUCUGGACGAUAACUGACGACGUGAGACGGC
rnacentral:rRNA from 1 species